GGGGUUCAUCAUUUUUUUACUAUCUAUUUCUUAUAUUUUUUAUAUCAAAUAUAAUAAUUUGAUAUGAAAUUUAUUUUUUUUCCUAUUAGAUUAACUCCAAUUAAAUAGAUCUUGAGCCGUUGAUCCUAACAACUGGGUUCUGAUAAUUAUAGUUGUCCUAUCUAGGAAUGCAUUUCAUCAUCCCCGUUCCUUUUCUCCAAAAAAAAAAAAUUCUAUCUCUUUAUAUUUUUUAUUGGAUAUUGAUGAGGUGAUCUAAACCAUUUGUUAGAAACCUUUACCUCCUUGUAAUGUUUAUCUGACGAUGAUCAUAUAGCUUAACGGAUGGUUGCUAGACCAUCAUUUAGUUUGUUUUAAACAUCAACACAAAUUUAAUCACCAAGGAAGAGAAAGGGAACGCUAGUCUACGCAUCCGCCAAACGUGUUAGACGUGUUACCAAAAAAAAAAAGAAAAAAAAAAAGCGUGAGACGUGACUUUCCAUGCAAACCCAUCUGUACCGCCGGAUCGAUUGCCUUCCCUCGGAAAUAAACCACCGCUACCUACAUUUAUUCCAGUGGCCAUCCACACCUUUAACCGCCUAGCAACUUCGAGGUCAUGCCGGAAGCUUACCGACCCUGCUACCAACCUUGACUUCUGGUCCACGCAAUGCUCUGGUUUCAGAACAGUUCUUCGCAGCCAAAAUAGAUUCUCUACGCUAUCUAAAAAAUACUGCAAAAUACUGUAUAUGCUUCAAAGAUACUGAUCAAAAGAUGAAUAAUCAUACAUAUAUUAAAAUAUUAAAAAAUAAAAAUAAAUAAAUUUUAAAAAUAUUUGAAUAAUUUAGAUAAAUAUUAUAUAAUCAUUUAUUUUUUUUAUGAACAUCUCUAAAACAUGUACAUACGAUAUUUUUUAAAUAUCAUAGAGAAUCCCAUUUUAACGUACGGUGGCCGUUCACCGUUAUGCUUGACGCUCUUUUUUUCUGGGCGGUUACCACCUUUUGUUCAAAAGAACUGACUCCCAGUUCAAUUUUUUCAGCGCCUUCCCAUAAUUAAAGCCACCCCCUAAACAAAGGGUACAAAAACAACAUGCCACCGCCCACAGGGCUAACAAAAGCCCAAGGUCUCUCUCCACUAAUAUAUAUAUAACCAACCAGACGCCAUGCAUUCCUCAAAAUCAAAGCUCUUCAGCACGUUUAUUAACUCCACAUUCUUCUCAUUACCUUCGAGUGUUCUUUUAGUUGGGGGAGUGUUUGAAGAUGAGCGUAGAGAUAUUGGACGGAGCCACCCUUCGUGAGUUCGUGGAG
rnacentral:lncRNA from 1 species